rnacentral:rRNA from 1 species
CCUACGGGUGGCAGCAGUGGGGAAUAUUGGACAAUGGGCGAAAGCCUGAUCCAGCCAUGCCGCGUGUGUGAAGAAGGCCUUCGGGUUGUAAAGCACUUUCAGUGGGGAAGAAAGCCUUGGGGCUAAUACCCUCGAGGAAGGACAUCACCCACAGAAGAAGCACCGGCUAACUCCGUGCACAGCAGCCGCGGUAAUACGGAGGGUGCGAGCGUUAAUCGGAAUUACUGGGCGUAAAGCGCGCGUAGGCGGUCUGAUAAGCCGGUUGUGAAAGCCCCGGGCUCAACCUGGGAACGGCAUCCGGAACUGUCAGGCUAGAGUGCAGGAGAGGAAGGUAGAAUUCCCGGUGUAGCGGUGAAAUGCGUAGAGAUCGGGAGGAAUACCAGUGGCGAAGGCGGCCUUCUGGACUGACACUGACGCUGAGGUGCGAAAGCGUGGGUAGCAAACAGGAUUAGAUACCCGGGUAGUC